UGAGUCCGAGUCUCUAAGGAGACGAAGUGGCGGUCAUCAAGCUUCCUAGAAAAGCUCUAACCACGUUAAUUCUUAGAUACCUGUACCCGAAACCGACACAGGUGGGGAGGUAGAGAAUACCAAGGGGCGCGAGAUAACUCUCUCUAAGGAACUCGGCAAAAUGACCCCGUAACUUCGGGAGAAGGGGUACCAGCUGCAAGGCUGGUCGCAGUGAAUAGGCCCAGGCGACUGUUUACCAAAAACACAGGUCUCCGCCAAGUCGUAAGACGAAGUAUGGGGGCUGACGCCUGCCCAGUGCCGGAAGGUUAAGGAAGUUGGUCAGGAGCAAUCUGAAGCUGACGACUGAAGCCCCGGUGAACGGCGGCCGUAACUAUAACGGUCCUAAGGUAGCGAAAUUCCUUGUCGGGUAAGUUCCGACCCGCACGAAAGGCGUAACGAUCUGGGCGCUGUCUCGGAGAGAGGCUCGGCGAAAUAGGAUUGUCUGUGAAGAUACGGACUACCUGCACUUGGACAGAAAGACCCUAUGAAGCUUUACUGUAGCUUGGAAUUGGGUUCGGGCUUGGUUUGCGCAGGAUAGGUGGGAGGCUUUGAAGAUUUGCUUGUGGGUGAAUCUGAGCCAACGGUGAGAUACCACUCUAACCAGGCUAGAAUUCUAACUUCAACCCGUCAACCGGGGGAAGGACAGUUUCAGGUGGGCAGUUUGACUGGGGCGGUCGCCUCCUAAAUGGUAACGGAGGCGCGCAAAGGUUCCCUCAGGCUGGUUGGAAAUCAGCCGUAGAGUGCAAAGGCAGAAGGGAGCUUGACUGCGAGACUGACAAGUCAAGCAGGGACGAAAGUCGGCCUUAGUGAUCCGACGGCACCGAGUGGAAGGGCCGUCGCUCAACGGAUAAAAGUUACUCUAAGGAUAACAGGCUGAUCUCCCCCAAGAGUUCACAUCGACGGGGAGGUUUGGCACCUCGAUGUCGGCUCAUCGCAACCUGGGGCGGAAGUACGUCCCAAGGGUUGGGCUGUUCGCCCAUUAAAGCGGUACGUGAGCUGGGUUCAGAACGUCGUGAGACAGUUCGGUCCAUAUCCGGUGUAGGCGCAAGAACAUUGAGAGGAGUCUUCCUUAGUACGAGAGGACCGGGAAGAACGCACCGCUGGUGUACCUGUUAUCGUGCCAACGGUAAACGCAGGGUAGCCAAGUGCGGAGUGGAUAACCGCUGAAAGCAUCUAAGUGGGAAGCCCACCUCAAGAUGAGUGUUCUCAUGGCAUAAGCCAGUAAGGUCACGGGAAGACUACCCGUUGAUAGGCAGUAGGUGGAAGUUCAGCAAUGGAUGAAGCCGAGCUGUACUAACUGACCGAGGGCUUGAC
rnacentral:rRNA from 1 species